AUUGAACGCUGGCGGCAGGCCUAACACAUGCAAGUCGAGCGGAUGAAGGGAGCUUGCUCCUGGAUUCAGCGGCGGACGGGUGAGUAAUGCCUAGGAAUCUGCCUGGUAGUGGGGGAUAACGUCCGGAAACGGGCGCUAAUACCGCAUACGUCCUGAGGGAGAAAGUGGGGGAUCUUCGGACCUCACGCUAUCAGAUGAGCCUAGGUCGGAGUAGCUAGUUGGUGGGGUAAAGGCCUACCAAGGCGACGAUCCGUAACUGGUCUGAGAGGAUGAUCAGUCACACUGGAACUGAGACACGUUCCAGACUCCUACGGGAGGCGGCAGGGGGGAAUAUUGGACAAUGGGCGAAAGCCUGAUCCAGCCAUGCCGCGUGUGUGAAGAAGGUCUUCGGAUUGUAAAGCACUUUAAGUUGGGAGGAAGGGCAGUAAGUUAAUAACUUGCUGUUUUGACGUUACCAACAGAAUAAGCACCGGCUAACUUCGUG
rnacentral:rRNA from 1 species